CCGCUUCUAUUGCCAGGGGGGGCUGGUGUCGCCCUCUUCGCCGACUGUAGCCCCCCCUGCAAAAACGGUGGGGGCCAAUGUCGGGGGGGGAGACUGGUGUCGGGGUACCCUCCGGGGCCACUGUUGGGGGGUCCAAUGUCCGCAUGCCUUAUAUUCCUUUGUGAAAUUGUGGCACCCCUUGCAACCUUUUUGCAGUAACCGAUUUGAUUUCGAUGUUGGAUGUGACGGUGAUUUAAAAAAAAAAAAAAGAUAAAUUCUUUUCAAACUUAACUGCCUCUAGCUACGACACACCCACAGUUCACAGUUUUUUAUCAACUUACCUUGUAGCACUUCAAGGCCGUUUUUUGUGCUGUUGCCACGGAUUUCUUGUUAGCAGGUUUUUGGACAGGAUAGCAAUUUAAACGAUUUACUUGCGAGAUAAACGAGAAUUCUAUAAAAAAAAAGGUAAGAUGCUCGCGUAAUAGUAAUCAACUGUAAAAUUUGUAUUUAGCACCGGAAACCUCUGGAUUGUUACAAGAAUCAACCUCUUAAUUUUGAACGAUUUUUGAAACCACAAAAACCUUUAUUGUCCGGUCCAUCGAUAAGAGUUUGAUUUUGUGGGCAAUGUUUACUUUCGCCGAUUGGCAAACAUUGAAGUUUGAAGAAAGUCUCGUAGGGGGACUCGCAGUGCCGAUCACUUCAAAUGCAAAAGUUUAGAGAUAUGUUACAUUUACGUUAUUCAAUUUGAGCCACCUUCUCGUAUGCAAAAUGGAUUUGCCUUUGGUCAAAAUGGAGCAGAAAAACAAGAAAUCAGUGGCAGUAAAAAUAACACGUACUUGGCCAGGAAAAGUAGUCUAGAUGUGUAGAACAUAAGGUCUUCGUACAAAUCGGGUUUCAUUUUGUCGAUUAUGCGUUUCCAUACGCCUUUUAUGUCAUUUACAAGAUUCUGUGUCAGAUCUUGAUUAUUUGAAUCGACCGAUAUUUUUAGAUCAGCUCCCAGAUUUCUAAGAUUUUUCACUAGCGCCGCUGUGUUCUCAUCUAUUAUAAUUUCACUCUCGAGCGCAGCAAUUCUACUGCUCGUCAAAAGUUAAACGAGUAAUUGUUUCCAAAAUCAGUUAAAUGUUUAAGUUUAAGCUCUUACCUUGAGGUUGGACGGGGUGAUACACAGAAGACAUGAACGAAUAAUAAACUAAUAAUUAUUUUCUGUAAGGAAAUCCACGUUGAAUGUUUGAUGGUCACCAUCCUGUUGCCUGUGAAAACAAAGCGUGUGGUGUAGACAUCUGGCUUCGACAAAGCCAAACGAGGAACUGCCAAGAGACUAACGUUUAUAUUUUUGCUUGAAUAAUGGUGGUUGGAAUUGAAAAAGGGGCGACCCUAAUUGAAAGAGAUACAUGUAGCCUUCACAGUUUGAAAAGAGAUAGCCUUUCUUUUUAGAGGACCAUUUCUCCAGGGCUCGUUUUCUCGCAAAAUCAUAGUGCCAAAAUAAGAAAAUUCUAGCUACUAGGCUUUGUUGUGUUACUUGUGGGCAUUUUCUUUUCCCUGGAUUAACGUGUGUUUUUUUCAUCAGCAGGCGAAAUGGCGGAAACACGCAUCAAGGACUAAACCAGUUUAGAUGCAGUGAUAAAGAGCAGAGCCCUACUGUCUAGACUUUCAAACCCUUUCAGGUUACCUGGAUUCGCCGAGUUUAAUUGACAUCUCCGUUUUACCGCAUUGAAACGAACCCAAGACCUAUAGCUCGCGUGCCAAAGUCCUGCGAAAGUUAAUCACGUAUGAUCACAAUCCAAAAUGCCAGCAACACUAAGAUGCAUCUCAAAUUUCAUUCACCUGGGAACUGAACUCUAAUCCCCGAGUUGUGCAAUCUGUUGCUCUACGAGUGACAAAAUCUAAGCAUCAACCUCACUAAACACGUGAAUUUAUGUAAAUUUAUCGUUUUAUAAUUCUUGUAUUGAUCUUUCUUCACAGACUAUUACAUCCAUGUGAAAUCAAUCAAGAUAUUGCUUCAAUUAACUGCCACAAAGGAAAUUACUUGGCUUGUGACUAAGAAAGCUGGAAGAAGAGAUUUUAAAUAAAAUCGGUUUCAGAACAUAAUUACAGGCAAUAUCUCUUUCAAUUUAUGAUGACUAUGAUACUAUUUCAAGAAAUUAAACAUCGAUCAUUAAAUUCAUUCUUGAUUUUAAGUCUAGUCUUAUCUACUUUUGAGCCGACAUAUUGCACAAAUCCCUAGUUCAUCAACUAUUUAAAAAACCCAAUGGGCUCUAAUUGGCCAAAACAGGCUCUAGUUGGGUAAAGACAUCUGGUGGACGAAUCUGCAACUGUUUGAAACUUCAUUAUUAAUUGCUGUGAGAUUGCGACUAACGAGUGGUACCCUUGAUAGUUACGUCCCGUAAUUUUUGUGUUCCGCAGGAUAAUUCAACUCAGAACUUACGGUUUGUCAUUUACAAUUAGGGUUUCACUUGUCAUCAGCUAAGCAAGUUACCAACUAGAUAAUUGUGGGUUACCUGUGUCUGCCACUCACCAUCAUCCUAUUUCUCAUUCUUAGACUUCGCCUUCUGCCUACCAUUGUACUAGACAUGAUACUUUUAUUGCUACAAAGUUCAUGAAACUAAAACAAUUGAUGCUGACACUGUGGUUUACUCUUGUUUCCCAUAUGUUGUGUGCAGCAUAUUCAUAUGUAUGUUGGGAAACAUACACCUUUCCAUCAUCAAACCGUCAAACAUCCACCAAACUGUCAUGUUUUCAGAAGCCAUCUUCACAUCUCUACUUAACCAGCUAACAUGACUAGGCUUUCACACCAUCUCCACAUUUUGUGUUGAAUUAUUCAUCUUCCUUCUCUGCAAAAUUACCUUCCCGACAACUUCGACGCCCCCAAUGGACCGCACGCAACUACUCUAUCUUCUUUGUCCCUCGUUUGCAAAAUCAAUCAUCAUCAUUACAGUCGUGCUGCAUUCUCCUCCCGGGGCCAUCAUGCGUAGCGCCAUAGCUGAGAAACAUGGAGGAAUUUACCUUAGGGGGUGCAGCCAAGCAGAAAUCCCGCGGCGAUGGAGAAGGAGUUCACCGAGGAACGUCGUGCUGUGGUAUUGUUUUGUUUUGUGUAUAGAACUAGUUAACCCGUUGGCUGCCACCCCGUUUGCGCCCCAUUUUUUUUGUAGCUUGUAGGGACCGGGCGCUGUUCUACCUCAUGGCCUAUGCCAUGGGGGGAACAGUCGCCGCGCCUUUAGGCGCCGUAGGCAAUGCACCAGUAGGGACUUCUCUUUGUCGAUGCGGUGGUAGAUUCCUGGGGUGUGCAUUCCCGGAAUGGAAUCUAUUACCGUGUCAGCCCGGACUUGUCUUCGGACAAGUCCCCCCUUGUUCGUGGAUCCAUCUGACGCGAAGCGUAGCAACUGUAGAUAGGCAACCUAUGGGUUGUAUGGCCUGGCAGCCAACGGGUUAACUAGUUAGUUGUAUGUAUUUGUAUGUAUGUAUUUCUGUAUGUGAUAUGUUAUGUAAAAUAGUGGAGGAAUUGAUGGGUGGAGGUGGGACAAUAAAA